UACGUAGGGGGCAAGCGUUAAUCGGAAUUACUGGGCGUAAAGCGUGCGCAGGCGGUUUGUUAAGGCUGUUGUGAAAUCCCCGAGCUCAACUUGGGAAUUGCAAUGGAUACUGGCAGGCUGGAGUAUGGUAGAGGAAGGUGGAAUUCCCGGUGUAGCAGUGAAAUGCGUAGAGAUCGGGAGGAACACCAGUGGCGAAGGCGGCCUUCUGGACCAAUACUGACGCUCAUGCACGAAAGCGUGGGGAGCAAACAGG
rnacentral:rRNA from 1 species